rnacentral:lncRNA from 8 species
AUGAAGGGAUUGCCAGGUCUUGAAGGGCCCAUGGGGACUGCUGGAAUUCCAGGUCUGAAGGGGGCUCCAGGUGGCACAGGCUUCAGAGGACUAGAUGGAGACAAAGGAGAUGCUGGACCCAAAAGAGACAAGAGUUCUGUUGCUGCGUCAGGGAUCCAAGGCCAUCAGGGUGAGAGGGGUCAGAGUGGCCUCUCAGGGCUUCCUGGUCUCAGAGGUCAAGCUGGUGCCCAAGGCAUCCAGGUAAACAUCAGGAUCACACCUGCAAUUCACAGCCUUUAUUAACAUAAUAACACUCUGCCUAUCCUCCUCCUGUACCUCAUUUGCUGUUACAUACUGAUGCACGGAGAAGACGGAGAGGUCGGCCUCCAGGGAGUGGUUGGAAAGGAAGGGUCAAAGGUCAGGAGAGUUUAUUGCAAUCUAGUGGAGUGAUUAGACUUAGAAUGGCUUUUCCUGGAGGGAACUUCCUUUCCCGAGAGCUCUAACUAGUGCUGUUAGAGCUCUCCUCUGUUCUAGUCUAAAUGCACCUGCAUUAAAUUAGCCAAUAUUGUAUGAUCAGCUUCCCAAAGAUUGUAUUUAGUCUCAUAGAGUUUGAAUACAGUACAAUACUGACUGAGAUUUUGAUGCAAAACCAAGCUAUAUCAUGCCAUGUUCAUAUACAUUUGCAUCACGUCAUAUCUUACAGACUGAAAGUCUUGAUUUUGAAUGUCUCUCUUUGUUUGCUCCUAAGGACCACAGGGAAGCUCCAGGCCGCAAUGGGAAGUCGGGACCUAAAGGACCCAGGGUAACUGUCUCCUGUGUCAUCUAAUACAGGGCUUUUCAAACUUUUCUUGUCAAAGCCAAAUCGGCGACCCAGGGACCCCCA